rnacentral:rRNA from 1 species
GGCCUGGCUGGGCGGUCUUGCCGAAAGGUAAGCACUGCUCUGGUCGGGUCUUUCCUUCUGGGGAACCAACGUGCUCUUGAUUGAGUGCGUUGGGGAUCCAGGACUUUUACCUUGAAAAAAUUAGAGUGUUCAAAGCAGGCUUACGUCUGAAUACAUUAGCAUGGAAUAAUAAAAUAGGAC